UUAAGUGAAUAAGGGCGCACGGUGGAUGCCUUGGUACUAGGAGCCGAAGAAGGACGGAACUAACACCGAUAUGCUUUGGGGAGCUGUAAGUAAGCUAAGAUCCAAAGAUUUCCGAAUGGGGGAACCCAACACCUUUCAUAGGGUGUUACCAAUGAGUGAAUACAUAGCUCAUUAGGAGGUACACGCAGGGAACUGAAACAUCUCAUUACCUGCAGGAAGAGAAAGAAAAAUCGAUUCCCUGAGUAGCGGCGAGCGAAACGGGAGGAGCCCAAACCAACGAGCUUGCUUGUUGGGGUUGUAGGACUAGAACGUGAGAAGAAAUCAAGAUAGCAGAAGUGGUCUGGAAAGGCCCAUCAAAGAAGGUGACAAUCCUGUACGCGACAUCUUGAUGAACUCUACUAGCAUCCUGAGUACGGCGGGACACGAGGAAUCCCGUCGGAAUCCGCCAGGACCAUCUGGCAAGGCUAAAUACUACCUAGUGACCGAUAGUGAACCAGUACCGUGAGGGAAAGGUGAAAAGAACCCCGGGAGGGGAGUGAAAGAGAACCUGAAACCCUGUGUCUACAAGCUGCGGAAGAGCGACUAACGCUCGACCGUGUACUUUUUGUAGAACGGUCCGGCGAGUUGCCGUUGCUGGCAGGUUAAGUACUUAAGGUACGGAGCCGAAGGGAAACCAAGUCUUAACAGGGCGGUAAGUCAGUAACGGCAGACCCGAAACCGGGUGACCUACCCAUGGCCAGGAUGAAGUCUGCGUAAAAGUGGAUGGAGGUCCGAACACACGUCUGUUGAAAAAGGCGGUGAUGAGCUGUGGGUAGCGGAGAAAUUCCAAUCGAACUCGGAGAUAGCUGGUUCUCCCCGAAAUAGCUUUAGGGCUAGCCUCGGUAUAGUCUAAUGGAGGUAGAGCACUGAAUCGCUGCGGGGGCGUCAAAGUCUACCAAUGCGUAUCAAACUCCGAAUGCCAUAUAGAUGUUUACCGGGAGUCAGACUGUAUGAGAUAAGUCGGACAGUCAAAAGGGAAACAGCCCAGACCAUCUGCUAAGGUCCCAAAGUGUAUGUUAAGUGGUAAAGGAUGUGGGGUUUCGAAGACAACUAGGAUGUUGGCUCAGAAGCAGCCAUUCAUUCAAAGAGUGCGUAAUAGCUCACUAGUCGAGAGGUCCUGCGCCGAAAAUGUCCGGGGCUGAAACAUAACACCGAAGCAAUGGAACAUACCGCAAGGUAUGUUGGUAGGGGAGCAUUGAUAACACGAAGAAGCGGUACCGUAAGGAGCCGUGGAGAGUUAUCAAGAGAGAAUGCCGGAAUGAGUAGCGAGAUGAAGGUGAGAAUCCUUCAGGCCGUAUAUCCAAGGUUUCCAGGGUAAAGCUGAUCUUCCCUGGGGAAGUCGGGACCUAAGCUCAGGCUGAGAAGCGUAGGCGAUGGACAACUGGUUGAUAUUCCAGUACCUCUGGCUGUCAGAAAUGUGGGGACACGGAAAUUCAGGAAGUGCCUGUAAAGGAUUCAGGUGCAAGCAUGGUUUAUGCCGGGCAGGCAAAUCCGCCCGGGUAAGUGGACUGUGUGACGCGGACCGAAAUAUAAGUAGGGAAGCUUCUGGGAGAGCCGUCGAGAAAAGCCGCUAUUGUGCAGCCAGAGCCCGUACCGUAAACCGACACAGGUGGAUGGGGAGAGUAUCCCAAGGCCGGCGGGAGAAGCAUUGUUAAGGAACUCGGCAAAAUGGCCCCGUAAGUUCGCGAUAAGGGGUGCCUGUAGAGAUACAGGCCGCAGAGAAUAGGCUCAAGCAACUGUUUAGCAAAAACACAGGUCUAUGCGAAACCGUAAGGUGAUGUAUAUGGGCUGACGCCUGCCCGGUGCUGGAAGGUUACGGGGAGUGCUUAGGAGCAAUCCGAAGGUACGAACUUAAGCCCCAGUAAACGGCGGCCGUAACUAUAACGGUCCUAAGGUAGCGAAAUUCCUUGUCGGGU
rnacentral:rRNA from 1 species